rnacentral:rRNA from 1 species
AUUGAACGCUGGCGGCAGGCCUAACACAUGCAAGUCGAACGAGUGGCGGACGGGUGAGUAAUGUCUGGGAAACUGCCCGAUGGAGGGGGAUAACUACUGGAAACGGUAGCUAAUACCGCAUACCAUCGGAUGUGCCCAGAUGGGCUUAGCUAGUAGGUGGGGUAACGGCUCACCUAGGCGACGCUCCCUAGCUGGUCUGAGAGGAUGACCAGCCACACUGGAACUGAGACACGGUCCAGACACCUACGGUAGGCAGCAGUGGGGAAUAUUGCACAAUGGGCGCAAGCCUGAUGCAGCCAUGCCGCGUGUAUGAAGAGGACCUUCGGGUUGUAAAGUACUUUCAGCGAGGAGGCGUUACUCGCAGAAGAAGCGCCGGCUAACUCCGUGCCAGCAGCCGCGGUAAUAC